rnacentral:rRNA from 1 species
UAGGGAAUAUUGGACAAUGGGCGAAAGCCUGAUCCAGCAACGCCGCGUGUGCGAUGAAGGCCUUCGGGUUGUAAAGCACUUUUAGAGGAGAUGAGAAAGGACAGUAUCCUCUGAAUAAGCCUCGGCGAACUACGUGCCAGCAGCCGCGGUAAAACGUAGGAGGCUAGCGUUAUCCGGAUUUAUUGGGCGUAAAGCGCGUGCAGGCGGUUUGUCAAGUUGGAUGUGAAAGCUCCUGGCUUAACUGGGAGAGGUCGUUCAAAACUGAUAGACUAGAGAAUGGUAGAGGGAGGUGGAAUUCCGGGUGUAGUGGUGAAAUGCGUAGAUAUCCGGAGGAACACCAGUGGCGAAAGCGGCCUCCUGGACCAUUUCUGACGCUAAGACACGAAAGCUAGGGUAGCAAACG